CCUACGGGAGGCAGCAGUCGAGAAUCAUGCACAAUGGGGGAAACCCUGAUGGAGCGACGCCGCGUGGGGGAAUGAAGGUCUUCGGAUUGUAAACCCCUGUCAUGUGGGAGCAAAUUAAAAAGAUAGUACCACAAGAGGAAGAGACGGUUAACUCUGUGCCAGCAGCCGCGGUAAUACAGAGGUCUCAAGCGUUGUUCGGAAUCACUGGGCGUAAAGCGUGCGUAGGCUGUUUCGUAAGUCGUGUGUGAAAGGCGCGGGCUCAACCCGCGGACGGCACAUGAUACUGCGAGACUAGAGUGAUGGAGAGGGAAGCGGAAUUCGCGGUGUAGCGGUGAAAUGCGUAGAUAUCGAGAGGAACACUCGUGGCGAAGGCGGGUUCCUGGACAUUAACUGACGCUGAGGCACGAAGGCCAGGGGAGCGAAAAGGAUUAGAUACCCUAGUAGUC
rnacentral:rRNA from 1 species